CACCAGCGCCCCAAGUGGCCAUCGCGAUUAUUGGGCCUAAAGCGUCCGUAGCCGGACAGGUAAAUCCGCUGUGAAAUCGUUGUGCUCAACGCAACGACGGGCAGCAGACACUGCUUGUCUCGAGACCGGGAGGGGUCAGAGGUAUGCCGUGGGGACUGGUAAAAUGGGAUAAUCCACGGUAGACCACCGAUGGCGAAGGCAUCUGACUAGAACGGAUCUGACGGUGAGGGACGAAAGCCAGGGGA
rnacentral:rRNA from 1 species